UGGGGAAUUUUGGACAAUGGGCGAAAGCCUGAUCCAGCAAUGCCGCGUGUGUGAAGAAGGCCUUCGGGUUGUAAAGCACUUUUGUCCGGAAAGAAAUCCUUGGCUCUAAUACAGUCGGGGGAUGACGGUACCGGAAGAAUAAGCACCGGCUAACUACGUGCCAGCAGCCGCGGUAAUACGUAGGGUGCAAGCGUUAAUCGGAAUUACUGGGCGUAAAGCGUGCGCAGGCGGUUUGCUAAGACCGAUGUGAAAUCCCCGGGCUCAACCUGGGAACUGCAUUGGUGACUGGCAGGCUAGAGUAUGGCAGAGGGGGGUAGAAUUCCACGUGUAGCAGUGAAAUGCGUAGAGAUGUGGAGGAAUACCGAUGGCGAAGGCAGCCCCCUGGGCCAAUACUGACGCUCAUGCACGAAAGCGUGGGGAGCAAACAGGAUUAGAUACCCUGGUAGUCCACGCCCUAAACGAUGUCAACUAGUUGUUGGGGAUUCAUUUCCUUAGUAACGUAGCUAACGCGUGAAGUUGACCGCCUGGGGAGUACGGUCGCAAGAUUAAAACUCAAAUGAAUUGACGGGGUCAUAGAUGUUUCC
rnacentral:rRNA from 1 species